rnacentral:rRNA from 1 species
AUACGGAGGGUGCAAGCGUUGUUCGGAUUUAUUGGGCGUAAAGCGAGUGUAGGCGGCUUGACAAGUCGGAUGUGAAAUCCCGGGGCCCAACCCCGGAACUGCAUCCGAUACUGUCAGGCUAGAGUCCCGGAGAGGGUGGCGGAAUUCCCGGUGUAGGGGUGAAAUCCGUAGAUAUCGGGAGGAACACCAGUGGCGAAGGCGGCCACCUGGACGGUGACUGACGCUGAGACUCGAAAGCGUGGGUAGCAAACAGGAUUAGAUACCCCGGUAGUCC